GGGAGCAGAUGGGUGCUGGUGUGUCCCCCGGUCUUCAAAACCGGUGUAAGAGGUUAGUAGCCCCUUGGGUGGGUUCGAUUCCCACAUGCUCUCGCCA
rnacentral:tRNA from 1 species